AAUCAACGCUGGCGGCGUGCCUCAGACAUGCAAGUCGAACGAUUAAAGCUCUCUUCGGAGAGUGCAUAGAGUGGCGCACGGGUGAGUAACACGUAAGUAAUCUACCCUCGAGUGGGGAAUAACGUCCGGAAACGGACGCUAAUACCGCAUAAUGCAGCGGCACCGCAAGGGGACAGUUGUUAAAGAUUUAUCGCUUGAGGAGGAGCUUGCGACAGAUUAGCUAGUUGGUAAGGUAAUGGCUUACCAAGGCUACGAUCUGUAACCGGUCUAAGAGGACGGUCGGUCACACUGACACUGAAUAACGGGUCAGACUCCUACGGGAGGCAGCAGUCGGGAAUUUUGGGCAAUGGGCGAAAGCCUGACCCAGCAACGCCGCGUGAAGGAUGAAGUAUUUCGGUAUGUAAACUUCGAAAGAAUAGGAAGAAUUAAUGACGGUACUAUUUAUAAGGUCCGGCUAACUACGUGCCAGCAGCCGCCGUAAGAC
rnacentral:rRNA from 1 species